rnacentral:rRNA from 1 species
UUGAAAGGGAAACGAUUGAAGUCAGUCGUACCUGCGGGUAAUCAGCCUUUUGGGCAUGAUUCUGUGGAGCGUGAGGAGUUAAACGCCUUCAUGCCUGCAUAUUCGUGUACUUUGGGUGUACUUGCCUGUGUGGUUAGUUAACAUCAAUUUUGGUUAUCAUAAAAUGGCUGGAGGAAUGUAGCUUCGAUUUCGAUUGAAGUGUUAUAGACUUCGGCAGAUGUGAUGAUCGGGAUUGAGGAUUGCAACGGGUACCCUUCGGGGCUACCUGUCUGAUCUCUGAUCGUUGCUCUGGUGCCGAAAGCGUGCUUACGGUUAUCAAAGUCGAUGGUCAAUAGGUUAGAAUGGGUUAAAUUCGUUAAGGAUGUUGACGUA